rnacentral:tRNA from 7 species
AAAAUCCGUCGACUUUAUAAAUCGUGAGGGUUCAAGUCCCUCUAUCCCCC